CAACUCCCAGAGUCGAGCGGCGGACGGGUGAGUAACACGUGGGUAACCUGCCCGGAAGUGGGGAAUACCUCGGGGAAACUCGAGCUAAUACCGCAUGACAUCUUCGGGACGAAAGUCCUGGCGAUCAAAGCGGGGUCGCAAGAUCUCGCGUUACCGGAUGGGCCCGCGCCCGAUUAGCUAGUUGGUGAGGUAACGGCUCACCAAGGCUUCGAUCGGUAACCGGCCUGAGAGGGCGAUCGGUCACACCGGAACUGAGACACGGUCCGGACUCCUACGGGAGGCAGCAGUGGGGAAUCUUGCGCAAUGGGCGAAAGCCUGACGCAGCAACGCCGCGUGGAGGAUGAAGGCCCUUGGGUUGUAAACUCCUGUCGGCUGGGAAGAAAUCGUUCGUGGCUAAUACCCACGAGCGUUGACUGUACCAGCAAAGGAAGCCCCGGCUAACUCUGUGCCAGCAGCCGCGGUAAUACAGAGGGGGCCAGCGUUAUUCGGAAUUAUUGGGCGUAAAGGGCGCGUAGGCGGCCAUGCGUGUCUUCCGUGAAAUCCCUCGGCUUAACUGAGGACGUGCGGAAGAAACUGCAAGGCUCGAGUCCGGGAGAGGGGGGUGGAAUUCCCAGUGUAGCGGUGAAAUGCGUAGAUAUUGGGAGGAACACCGGUGGCGAAGGCGGCCCCCUGGACCGGUACUGACGCUGAGGCGCGAAAGCGUGGGUAGCAAACGGGAUUAGAUACCCCGGUAGUCCACGCCGUAAACGAUGGGCACUUGGUGUCGCGGGUAUCGACCCCUGCGGUGCC
rnacentral:rRNA from 1 species